rnacentral:rRNA from 1 species
GUUAACUGCGGAAGACAUUACCGAGUGGCCCAAGUCCGCAAGGACCGGUUACCCGACCUCUUGUCAUUUGCUCUGGGGUCGCCUGCAAGGUUCGGCCCGCACUUCCUCCAUGUGGGGUUGGGCGGGUCGCGCCGAACUGGCGGCCUCAGCUUCGAUAACUUCGGCGGAAGUGGUAGGUUCGACCUGCCCGCCGCCGGCCGUAUUCAACCUGCAAGUAAUUUUGAAGUCUGAUUUGAAUCAUAAUGAAAAGCAAAACUUUCAACAACGGAUCUCUUGGCUCUGGCAACGAUGAAGAACGCAGCGAAACGCGAAAGGUAAUGCGAAUUGCAGAAUCAGUGAGUCAUCGAAUUUUUGAACGCACAUUGCACCCCUUGGUAUUCCGGGGGGUACGCCUGUUCGAGCGCCAUCACACACCCCAAGCUCUGCUUGAUGUUGGACGAUGCCUUGGCCCUUCUGGGCCGGGGCACGUCUGGAACCCGUGGGCGCCCCCGCCGAAACCACGAGCGUAGCAAGACGCAAGUCACUCGCUUCUGUCGGUCUCGGUGGAGGGGUCUGCCUAAUCCAUUUCUGAAGAUUGGCCUCGGAUCAGGUGGGGAUACCCGCUGAACUUAAGCAUAUCAAUAAGCGGAGGAAAAGAAACCAACAGGGAUUGCCUCAGUAACGGCGAGUGAAGCGGCAACAGCUCAAAUUUGAAAUCUGGGGGCCUUCGGCUCCCGAGUUGUAAUUUGUAGAGGAUGCCUCGGGGGGUGCUUUCGGCCCAAGUUCCCUUGGAACAGGAUACCACAGAGGGUGAGAGUCCCCGUAUACUGCCGGCAGUGCUCUCCGCGCGAGGUUUUCGCGGC